rnacentral:rRNA from 1 species
CCUACGGGAGGCAGCAGUGAGGAAUAUUGGUCAAUGGCCGGAAGGCUGAACCAGCCAAGCCGCGUGAAGGACGAAGGUGCCAAGCAUUGUAAACCUCUUUUGUCGGGGAGCAAAAGACGCCACGCGUGGCGUUCCGAGAGUACCCGAAGAAAAAGCAUCGGCUAACUCCGUGCCAGCAGCCGCGGUAAUACGGAGGAUGCGAGCGUUAUCCGGAUUUAUUGGGUUUAAAGGGUGCGUAGGCGGACAGUCAAGUCAGCGGUAAAAAUGCGGUGCUCAACGCCGUACAGCCGUUGAAACUGGCAGUCUUGAGUGGGCGAGAAGUAUGCGGAAGGCGUGGUGUAGCGGUGAAAUGCAUAGAUAUCACGCAGAACUCCGAUUGCGAAGGCAGCAUACCGGCGCCCUACUGACGCUGAGGCACGAAAGCGUGGGUAUCGAACAGGAUUAGAUACCCUGGUAGUC